rnacentral:rRNA from 1 species
UACGCGAGCUGGGUUCAGAACGUCGUGAGACAGUUCGGUCCCUAUCUGUCGUGGGCGCAGGAAAUUUGAGAGGAGCUGUCCUUAGUACGAGAGGACCGGGAUGGACGCACCGCUGGUGUACCAGUUGUUCCGCCAGGAGCACCGCUGGGUAGCCAAGUGCGGACGGGAUAAGCGCUGAAAGCAUCUAAGCGUGAAGCCCCCCUCAAGAUGAGAUUUCCCAAUUUAGUAAGACCCCUUGAAGACGACGAGGUAGAUAGGUUCGAGGUGGAAGCGCAGCAAUGCGUGGAGCUGACGAAUACUAAUCGGUCGAGGGCUUAUCCU